rnacentral:rRNA from 1 species
CAACUUCUACGGANGCAGNAUNNAGGNNNUGGACAAUCGGNNNAGCAUGANCAGNCAUGCCGGNNNNNGAAGACGGUCCNNUGGGUUNGUAAACUACNUUAGUCNGGGGAUAAACCUANUUUACGUGUAAGUAGCUGAAGGUANCAGAUGAAUNAGCNCCGGCUAACUCCGUGCCAGCAGCCGCNGUAAUANGGAGGGUGCAAGNGUUAUCNGGAUUAUUGGGUUAAAGGGUCNGUAGGCGGACUGAUCAGUCAGUGGUGAAAUCCGACAGCUUAACUGUCGAACUGCCAUUGAUNCUGUUAGUCUUGAGUAAGGUUGAAGUGGCUGGAAUAAGUAGUGUAGCGGUGAAAUGCAUAGAUAUUACUUAGAACACCAAUUGCGAAGGCAGGUCACUAAGUCUUAACUGACGCUGAUGGACGAAAGNGUGGGGAGCGAACAGGAUUAGAUACCCUGGUAGUCCACGCCGUAAACGAUGAUUACUCGUUUUUGGGUUUUAGGAUUCAGAGACUAAGCGAAAGUGAUAAGUAAUCCACCUGGGGAGUACGUUCGCAAGAAUGAAACUCAAAGGAAUUGACGGGGGCCCGCACAAGCGGUGGAGCAUGUGGUUUAAUUNGAUGAUACGCGAGGAACCUUACCAAGACUUAAAUGGGAAAUGACAGAUUUAGAAAUAGAUCCUUCUUCGGACAUUUUUCAAGGUGCUGCAUGGUUGUCGUCAGCUCGUGCCGUGAGGUGUUAGGUUAAGUCCUGCAACGAGCGCAACCCCUGUCACUAGUUGCUAACAUUAAGUUGAGGACUNUAGUGAGACUGCCUACGCAAGUAGAGAGGAAGGUGGGGAUGACGUCAAAUCAUCACGGCCCUUACGUCUUGGGCCACACACGUGCUACAAUGGCCGGUACAGAGGGCAGCUACCUAGUGAUAGGAUGCAAAUCUCGAAAGCCGGUCUCAGUUCGGAUUGGAGUCUGCAACUCGACUCUAUGAAGCUGGAAUCGCUAGUAAUCGCGCAUCAGCCAUGGCGCGGUGAAUACGUUCCCGGNCCUUGUACACACCGCCCGUCAAGCCNUGGAAGCUGGGGGUACCUGAAGUCGGUGACCGUAAAAGGAGCUGCUNUG